ACUGCUCAGUAACACGUGGACAACCUGCCCUUAGGUUGGGUAUAAACCCGGGAAACUGGGUAUAAUACCCGAUAGGUCUCGAUUGCUGGAAUGCAUCGAGAUUUAAAGCUCCGGCGCCUAAGGAUGGGUCUGCGGCCUAUCAGGUAGUAGUGGGUGUAGCGUACCUACUAGCCUACGACGGGUACGGGUUGUGAGAGCAAGAGCCCGGAGAUGGAUUCUGAGACACGAAUCCAGGCCCUACGGGGUGCAGCAGGCGCGAAAACUUUACAAUGCUGGCAACAGCGAUAAGGGAACCUCGAGUGCCAGGUUACAAAUCUGGCUGUCGAGAUGCCUAAAAAGCAUUUCAUAGCAAGGGCCGGGCAAGACCGGUGCCAGCCGCCGCGGUAACCCCGGCGGCUCGAGUGGUAACCGUUAUUAUUGGGUCUAAAGGGUCUGUAGCCGGCCGGAUAAGUCUCUUGAGAAAUCUGGCAGCUUAACUGUCAGGCUUUCAGGAGAUACUGUCUGGCUCGAGGCCGGGAGAGGUGAGAGGUACUUCAGGGGUAGGGGUGAAAUCUUGUAAUCCUUGAAGGACCACCAGUGGCGAAGGCGUCUCACCAGAACGGACCUGACGGCAAGGGACGAAAGCUAGGGGCACGAACCGGAUUAGAUACCCGGGUAGUCCUAGCCGUAAACGAUACUCGCUAGGUGUCGGCCACGGUGCGACCGUUGUCGGUGCCGUAGGGAAGCCGUGAAGCGAGCCACCUGGGAAGUACGGCCGCAAGGCUGAAACUUAAAGGAAUUGGCGGGGGAGCAC
rnacentral:rRNA from 1 species